UAUGAUAGUGCAUACUUUUUAUUUCGGG
rnacentral:sRNA from 1 species